rnacentral:rRNA from 1 species
AUAAGACAUGCAAGUUGAACGAUGACUGUCUGGUAGCAAUAUUGGGCAAUCAUAGUGGCGAAAGGGUGCGUAACACGUGAGCGAUCUACCCUUAAGAUCGGAAUAACCCCGAGAAAUCGAGGCUAAUACCAAAUAAACUUACCGUGAUAAUUCAUGGUGAGUAAAGCUGGGGACCGCAAGGCCUGGCGCUUGAGGAUGAACUCGCGGCCUAUCAGCUAGUUGGCGGGGUAACGGCCCACCAAGGCUAAGACGGGUAGCUGGUCUUAGAGGACGACCAGCCACACUGGGACUGAGACACGGUCCAGACACCUACGGGUGGCAGCAGUCGAGAAUUUUUCACACUGGGCGAAAGCCUGAUGGAGCGACGCCGCGUGGGGGAUGAAGGGCUUCGGCCUGUAAACCCCUGUCAUUUGCGAACAAACCCGGCUUUUGAAUAGAGAGCUGGCUGAUUGUAGCGAAAGAGGAAGGGACGGCUAACUCUGUGCCAGCAGCCCGCGGUAAUACAGAGGUCCCAAGCGUUGUUCGGAUUCACUGGGCGUAAAGGGUGUGUAGGCGGUCGAGAUA